AUGAUGGACUAUAGGACAGGACUGCUGCUUUUUACUGUCUGCUGGGCAGGUGUUGAUGGUCAGACUCUGACAGAAUCUGAAGCAGUGGUUAAAAGGCCUGGAGAAUCCCACAGACUGACCUGUUCAGCCUCUGGGUUCACAUUCAGCAGCUACGCUAUGAACUGGGUCAGACAGGCUCCUGGAAAAGGACUGGAGUGGAUUGCUUAUAUUAGUAGCAGUGGUGGUAGCCAAUACUACUCUAAUUCAGUCAAAAGCCGGUUCACCAUCUCCAGAGACAACAGCAGACAGCAGGUGUAUCUGCAGAUGAACAGUCUGAAGACUGAAGAUUCUGCUGUUUAUUAUUGUGCCAGAGACCACAGUGACACAGGAGGAAGUUUCGCUGUACAAAAACUUAGCGUGUCAAACAGUACUCUCUCUGUGGUUUUUAUUUAUAGAAUAAACUUCACUUUGAUGUGAAAAAAAUAA